AGACCCGAAACCCGGUGAUCUAGCCAUGGGCAGGUUGAAGGUUGGGUAACACUAACUGGAGGACCGAACCGACUAAUGUUGAAAAAUUAGCGGAUGACCUGUGGCUGGGGGUGAAAGGCCAAUCAAACCGGGAGAUAGCUGGUUCUCCCCGAAAGCUAUUUAGGUAGCGCCUCGUGAAUUCAUCUCCGGGGGUAGAGCACUGUUUCGGCUAGGGGGCCAUCCCGGCUUACCAACCCGAUGCAAACUGCGAAUACCGGAGAAUGUUAUCACGGGAGACACACGGCGGGUGCUAACGUCCGUCGUGAAGAGGGAAACAACCCAGACCGCCAGCUAAGGUCCCAAAGUCAUGGUUAAGUGGGAAACGAUGUGGGAAGGCCCAGACAGCCAGGAUGUUGGCUUAGAAGCAGCCAUCAUUUAAAGAAAGCGUAAUAGCUCACUGGUCGAGUCGGCCUGCGCGGAAGAUGUAACGGGGCUAAACCAUGCACCGAAGCUGCGGCAGCGACGCUGAUGCGUUGUUGGGUAGGGGAGCGUUCUGUAAGCCUGCGAAGGUGGCCUGUGAGGGUUGCUGGAGGUAUCAGAAGUGCGAAUGCUGACAUAAGUAACGAUAAAGCGGGUGAAAAGCCCGCUCGCCGGAAGACCAAGGGUUCCUGUCCAACGUUAAUCGGGGCAGGGUGAGUCGACCCCUAAGGCGAGGCCGAAAGGCGUAGUCGAUGGGAAACGGGUUAAUAUUCCCGUACUUGGUGUUACUGCGAAGGGGGGACGGAGAAGGCUAUGUUGGCCGGGCGACGGUUGUCCCGGUUUAAGCGUGUAGGUGUGUGUUCCAGGUAAAUCCGGUUCACUUUAACACUGAGGCGUGACGACGAGGCACUACGGUGCUGAAGCAACAAAUGCCCUGCUUCCAGGAAAAGCCUCUAAGCAUCAGGUAACAUCAAAUCGUACCCCAAACCGACACAGGUGGUCAGGUAGAGAAUACCAAGGCGCUUGAGAGAACUCGGGUGAAGGAACUAGGCAAAAUGGUGCCGUAACUUCGGGAGAAGGCACGCUGACACGUAGGUGAAGUGAUUUACUCAUGGAGCUGAAGUCAGUCGAAGAUACCAGCUGGCUGCAACUGUUUAUUAAAAACACAGCACUGUGCAAACACGAAAGUGGACGUAUACGGUGUGACGCCUGCCCGGUGCCGGAAGGUUAAUUGAUGGGGUCAGCGCAAGCGAAGCUCCUGAUCGAAGCCCCGGUAAACGGCGGCCGUAACUAUAACGGUCCUAAGGUAGCGAAAUUCCUUGUCGGGUAAGUUCCGACCUGCACGAAUGGCGUAAUGAUGGCCAGGCUGUCUCCACCCGAGACUCAGUGAAAUUGAACUCGCUGUGAAGAUGCAGUGUACCCGCGGCAAGACGGAAAGACCCCGUGAACCUUUACUAUAGCUUGACACUGAACAUUGAGCCUUGAUGUGUAGGAUAGGUGGGAGGCUUUGAAGUGUGGACGCCAGUCUGCAUGGAGCCGGCCUUGAAAUACCACCCUUUAAUGUUUGAUGUUCUAACGUGGACCCGUGAUCCGGGUUGCGGACAGUGUCUGGUGGGUAGUUUGACUGGGGCGGUCUCCUCCUAAAGAGUAACGGAGGAGCACGAAGGUUGGCUAAUCCUGGUCGGACAUCAGGAGGUUAGUGCAAUGGCAUAAGCCAGCUUGACUGCGAGCGUGACGGCGCGAGCAGGUGCGAAAGCAGGUCAUAGUGAUCCGGUGGUUCUGAAUGGAAGGGCCAUCGCUCAACGGAUAAAAGGUACUCCGGGGAUAACAGGCUGAUACCGCCCAAGAGUUCAUAUCGACGGCGGUGUUUGGCACCUCGAUGUCGGCUCAUCACAUCCUGGGGCUGAAGUAGGUCCCAAGGGUAUGGCUGUUCGCCAUUUAAAGUGGUACGCGAGCUGGGUUUAGAACGUCGUGAGACAGUUCGGUCCCUAUCUGCCGUGGGCGCUGGAGAACUGAGGGGGGCUGCUCCUAGUACGAGAGGACCGGAGUGGACGCAUCACUGGUGUUCGGGUUGUCAUGCCAAUGGCACUGCCCGGUAGCUAAAUGCGGAAGAGAUAAGUGCUGAAAGCAUCUAAGCACGAAACUUGCCCCGA
rnacentral:rRNA from 1 species